ensembl:lncRNA
UAAUGUUUUAGUUUUUUAUUCUGAAAGGAAACAAAAAAAAAAAGUUUUUCUAAACGGCUUGAAGUCACAGAAGAAAAAAAACAAAAAACGCCUGACCCAGCACAUUACUGGAACAAUGCAAACCUGUGAUAAAACUGCCCUAGCACAUUUAAUCCACUUAAAAACGCAUAAAACUAGGCUUUCAACCCCCAUUACUUUGCAAACACCCCCUUGGAGAGACUAUCUGAAAAAAUAUCCACAUUAAGUCAAAAAAAAAAAACUGAAGCAUGUCCAGAGGGGUCACAUUGAGACGGAGUGGCCAGGGAUCUACAGCUAGUCAUUAAAAAACGAUCGGGAGAGAGAGACGGGGGGGGUGGAGCAGGGGAAUGUAGACAGGGAGGGUGGGGUGGGGACGACGACUCGGUAAGGGGCUCGUAGCAGACAGCACCGUGACGGGACUAGGACCGGGAACGGGAGCGCGACGGCGAGCGGGAUUUGGACGGGGACAGGGAGCGCGAGGCGGACCGGGCUUUGGCGGGGGUGGGCGAGCGGGACUUGGACUUGGAUUUGGAGCGGGCCCUCUGCUUGGGCUCCACGGGGCUCCUGGAGACCCUGCGCGGCGCGGCCCCCCCCUCCUCCUCCUCGCGCCCCUUGGAGCCCGACUUCCUGCUGCGGUCCUUGACGUCGGAGCGGGAGCGGGACCUGGACCUGGACCUGGAGCGGGACUCGUCCUUGCGGCCCUUCUUCACCUCCUUCUUGGCCUUCUUGCUGCGGGGGCUGCGGCUGCGGCUGCGGCUGCGCGCCUCCUUCUUGACGCUGCGGCUGCGGCUCCUCUCCUUGUUCUUGACGCUGCGGCUGCGGCUGCGCUCCUUGUUCUUGGGGCUGCGGCUCCGGCUGCGGCUGCGGGCGUCCUUCUUGUGCGAGCCGUUGGUGCGCUCCUCCUCCUUCUUGUCCUUGUUCUUCUUGCUGCGGGAGCGGCUUCGGGAGUGGGACGCGGCCCUGAAGGGGGGGGGGGGAGACAGUGCAGAGUUGGUGGUCGUUCAGGGGUUGCAUGCGGCAGCUCCACAGUGCUUCAACAGUGAUUUAAAAAAAGGGGACAUUCUACCACCAGGUGUGAGUGUGAUUAGCCGUUACAAGCCGUUCUGAGAAUCUGCGUCUUCUGACAUCACAAGUGGGCGUGUCCGCCUAGAUGCGCGCUGGAUAGAUGAGCAUCGUUUGCUUCAGUCCACUAGGCUGGUAGGCUGGUCUAUCCAGCGCGCAUCUCGGAGGACACGCCCUCAAGUGAUGUCAGAUUUUUCCAAACGGCUUGCAAGGGUUAAUCACACUCCCACCCGGCGGUACGAUAUGUAUCCCGUUAGGAGUCAUACGGCUAAACAGACCAUCG